AUGGGGUCAACCACCAUCCUUGCCCUCCUCCUGGCUGUUCUCCAAGGUGUCUGUGCCGAGGUGCAGCUGGUGCAGUCUGGAGCAGAGGUCAAAAGGCCCGGGGAGUCGCUGAAGAUCUCCUGUAGGGCUUCUGGAUACAGCUUUAACAGCUACUGGAUCAGCUGGGUGCGACAGAUGCCCGGGAAAGGCCUGGAGUGGAUGGGGAGGAUCUAUCCUGAGAAACAGUGGGUGUGUGUGGCAGUUACUGACCAGGAUGUCUCUGUGUUUGCAGGUGUCCAGUGUGAGGUGCAGCUGGUGGAGUCUGGGGGAGGCUUGGUUCAGCCUGGGGGGUCUCUGAGACUCUCCUCUGCAGCUUCUGGAUUCACGUUCAGUGACUACAGGAUGUACCGGGUCCGCCAGGCUCCGAGUAAGGGGCUGGAGUGGGUGGCCAACAUAAAGUAUGAUGGAGGUGAAAAAUACUACGCAGACUCCGUGAAGGGCCGAUUCACCAUCUCCAGAGACAACACCAAGAACUCUCUGUAUCUGCAGAUGAACAGCCUGAGAGCCGAGGACACGGCCGUGUAUUACUGUGCGGGACACAGUGAGCGGAAGUCAGUGUGAGCCCGGACACAAACCUCCUGCAGGGGCGCCUAGAACCAGCAGGGGGCGGUCGGGAUACACAGAGGACGGGGCAGCCCAGGGCAGGUGCAGGUGCAGGUCAAGGGCUGCUCCCCUUCAGGGCCUGUGGCUUCCUCUGCAUCUAA